CCCACUAAGGUGCCCACAUAAUUGAUAGUUAAGAAAUUGGCAUAUUUAUUCUGUUUAGUGUGAACACUAAGCCUCACUUAGCUAUCAAGAUAAUAACAUGUAACACAUAAUCUGAUAAGGGAAAUCAGAUCCAAAAGGAUGGUGGAAUCAAGCACGGCAAGUGAGCUCGUAAGCUCAAAACUAUACCCACUGGACGACGGACGCAGACCAUUCAAUUUUGUAAAGUGGAGGCAAGAUUCUUCUUUGGGCCAUUCUUGUUUAGAGAAGAAAGAGCAGCGUAUCAGCUCAUCUGCUAUGCAAUAGCGGCACAUUUAUUGAAGUUCUAGGUGAGUACUAAAUGGUGAUUUUGAGUAGAUUUCAUUCAUUUAAUAUAAGUAUUAACACCCAACUCAUUGAAAUCCUAGAUUUGUAAAGAAAUUAUUCAAGAACACAAAAGAGGGAAAAGGCUAGAUUUUUCUACAACAAGGUUAUUCUACCGCUCCCUCUUCAAUUAUGAAGUUCAAAUGAUGUUAUUGAGUAUUAAAAGGUGAUGGGAAUUUGAUAUUAAAAUAACCCCAAAAUGGGUGUUCUUGACAUUAAAGAGCUAAGGAAGGGGAUGAUGAAUUAUAACUAGGGAUAAGGAUUGAGUUAAAUAAUGAUUCUAAUAAUCUCUUUAAGUUGAUACUUGCUUUAAAAUGACAUUUUGGAGUUAAUUAAAUUGUGGGAGUAAUCGAAAAUAAGGAUAUUGGAUGGCUUGAUGCCGAUUAUGAGCCCGAAAAAGAGUUAUGAUUAAUUGUUUGAACUUGAAUUGAUGAAGUUAAAUUGUAAAUGUUAUAGAUUGAUAUCGUACAUGCAUAAAUUGUAUUGUUGGUCAUUUAUUGUCUUUUAUUGAAUAGUGGCACUUUAAAUCAUAAUUUUUCAUUUACUUGGAUCAAGUGAUUGUAACAAAUAUUGAAACUCAUUAUCUUGUGAUUUUACAAUUUAUCGAGAUAUAUUAAAAAAGAUUAUCAUUUUAUUGAAGUCAAAGGAACCUUAUCAACAUAUAGAAUUGAACUAUGGGCCUUGGAAGCCAAUUAUCGAAAAUAUUUAUAGGACCUAUGGGUCAUACAAUUUAAAGAAAAUAUUGUUUGGGAGGAUCAUAGUUAUUAUCGCUACAGAACACACGUUUUAUUGUGUACCAUAUAUUAUCUAAUGAGACACCUUACUAUGCUAGCACUAUCGUCAAAAUCCCAUAAUAAUGGGUGAGGCAGCCUCGUGACCAGGCGAUGGUUACUAUCGUCAAUAUCCUUCGGGUGAGACGUCCAGGUUGACUGAGGGAUGGUCAACAUAUAGACAUUGAUUAUCAUUAUUAUUAUAACUAUUGGAACUCCCUAUUGAAAGAUUUAUAGCCUAUUGAAAGCUUUACAGUCUAUUGAAAGAUUUAUAGCCUAUUGAAAGAUUUACAACCUAUUGAAAGAUUUAUAGCCUAUUGAAAUGUUUACGUGUUUAUUAAAAGGUUUACAGUUUACUGAAAUGCAUUUAAUGUUUAUUUCUUUUCGUUAUUCAUUUUAUGAAUUGCCAUACAUAUUUUACUUCAUGUAUUUUACGUAUUCCUGAAGUAUUGUUCCAGUCUUAUCGGAAGGAGUCAAUAAUACUUACGGGGUACGAUUUCUAUGAAAUUGUGCUCAGCCUCCUACGUGGGGCAACUUAUUUGAUAUUUCAGAUAUCGUGGAAUUGGAGUUGACAUCACGAGCUAGACGUCUUUUGCAUUCUCUACUAUACUUGGUAAGCUCGCUAUUUUAUCGUUGGGUCUAUGUCUAGUGAUUUUAUUAUGUCCAUAGAGGUUCCGAUGACACUGUGGGGAGGUCUAGUCAUUCAGAUGAUAUUAAUAUAUAUUUUCUUAAACUUUCAUGUUCAUUCCGCACUUAUGUAUCUUGGCUAAAGGCCUACUUAUAUUUUGAGUUAAAACAAAGACUUUUACCAAACGAUUCAAGACGAUAUUUCAAAUAUUUAAGUGAUACUUCAAACCUUGAAAUAAUCAUGAAUGGGUAGAUGGGUUUAAGUGGUUCGCUCGGUGUAAGUUGAAGGCACUGGGUGCCGGUUGUGUUGUCCUUUUUGGGGCGUAACAUGGUAUUAGAGCACAGAUAGUGUAAUUCUGGUGGAAAAGUACGGUAUUGGUGCAGGUACAAUUCACAAGAAUACUGCGACACUAUUGAUCAUCGUUACUAUUCACAUGCACUAUUCACAUAAAUGUUUUUGUGAAAAAUGACAUCGUAAGAAAGGAAGGUUAAGAUUGACAAGUUCAAUGGCAAAGAUUUUGGAUUCUGAAAAAUACAAAUAGCGGAUUAUUUGUACCAUAAAAAAUUACACUUACCUCUGACCGAGGUAAAAUCAGAGUAUAUGGCCAAAGCGGAUUGGGAUCUAUUAGAUCGCCAAGCUCUUAGUGUGAUUCGUUUGACGCUAACACGAAAUGUGGCGUUUAACAUCAUUAACGAGAAGACCAUUACAUGCCUGAUUAAGGUGUUAUCAAAUAUGUACGAGAAGCCAUCUGCUUCAAAUAAAGUUUAUUUGAUGCGUCGAUUGUUCAAUUUAAAGAUGACAGAAGGUGGAUCUGUCAAGGAACAUAUCAAUGGGUUUAAUAUAAUAUUAACUCAGUUGAGUUCUGUUAAUAUAACAUUUGAUAAUGAAGUCAUAGCAUUGUUCUACUAUUAUCUCUACCGGAGAGUUGGUCUGAAAUGGUAACUGCAGUUAGCAGUUCAUCGGGAAAUACCAAACUCAAAUUGAAUGAUAUUAGAGACUUGGUUCUAAGUGAAGAUAUUCGCCGAAGAGAAUCAAGUGAUUCCCCAGGAUCUAUUUUUAAUACCGAAAGUAGGGGGAGAAGCAAUCAAAGAGGACGAAGUCAUAGUCGUGGAAGAUCAAAGUCAAGGAGAAGAGGGCAAUCCAAAAAUUGCAAAGACAUUACUUGUUGGAAUUACGAUAAAAAGGGUCACUACAGUAGCCAAUGUAGAGAACCAAAGAAGAUGAAGGAAUAAAAUUCAGCAAAUGUAAUUGCUGAACAAGUCGGUGAUGCAUUAAUUUGUUGUGCAGACAGUCUAGUCGAAUCUUGGAUUCUGGACUUAGGUGCAUCCUUUCACUUUACAUCAUGCAAAGAAUUAUUGCAUAAUUGUAUUGCUGGAAAAAUCGGGAAGGUUUAUCUAGCAAACGGCGAACCUCUGGACAUUGUUGGGAAAGGUGAAGUUCAUAUAAAGACUUCACAAGGCACGCUAUGGAAAUUGCAAAAUAUUUGACAUGUUCCUGGCCUAAAAAAAAUCUGAUAUCUAUGGGUCAGAUUAACUGUGAAGGAUAUACAACAACAUUCAGUAACUGAUCUGUCACGACCCAAAAUCCAACUAGUCGUGAUGGUACCUAACCCAACCCGCUAGGUAAGCCAAUUAACAACUAUCCAAUUCCAAUGAUAUUUAAUAAGACAGUUAAGUAAAGAAAUAUCUGAAUAUUAUACAUUCUCCAAGGACUGGUAGUACAAAUCAUGAGCUUCUAAGAAUAGAGUUUACAAAGCGGAAAUGAAAUAAAUACAUAGUCUAUUUGAAAAGUACAUAAACAGAGUUUUAUAGAUCUAAAGCUACCACGAACAAGAGGCAGCUACAACCGGGACGCAUGUACAUUUUCAAUUCAGCUCCCAUCGAACACCGCAACAUAAGCAACCAACAUCUGCACGCAAGGUGUAGAAGUGCAGUAUGAGUAUAACCGACCCCAUGUACUCAAUACGUAACAAACUUAACCUUAGGUUGAAAGUAGUGACGAGCUAACAAAAAGGGGUCGGGUCCAACACCAAUAUUCCACAUCAGUUCAUAACAACAUAGUACAAGUAACAAACGAGUAUCUCAGAAAUAAAAGGCCCAGUUCGUUCUCAGUUCCAGAAAAAUAGGCAUUUCUUUUCAAGUAUCUCAGUGAAAAUCCAAAUUUUUUACCGAAAAAGUCAAAAUACAUGUAAGUUUGAAAACUGUGAUUUUUCCCAAAAAUCCUUUCAACAAUAAACAAGGUAUUCCAUAUUUUCUUUCAGAUAGCAAGUGUAAGAUGCCUCUCUAUGCCCAUAUGUAAAAAUGUAUGAGAAGUCAUAAAUGACGUGAUACUAUACAAUAUGAGGAAAAAUGCAUCUCUAUGCAUGUAUGCCAAGUGUGCAUGCCAAAUGCGAUGCAAAUCAAUGAUAAAGAUCAUAUGCAUACUCUCAGAGUAUCAAUUCACUCCGUCCUCCUAGUCACUCAGCACUCGGCACUCGGCACUCGGCACUCACACUCAGUAGGUACCUGCACUCACUGGGGGUGUGCAGACUCCGGAGGGGCUCCUACAGCCCAAGCGCUAUAAUCCGCACGGACAACUCACGUGCCACAAUAUCAAUAUCUGGAAUCGCACGGACAACUCACGUGCUUCACGGACAACUCACGUGUUAUAGUAAGCCAAUCUGACUCGCUGCAGCAUGCAGCCCUAUCCCAUAAUCAUCCUCACAACCAGGCCCUCGGCCUCACUCAGUCAUCAAUCUCUCCAGUCUCUCGGGCUCACAAUGUCAUGAUACUAGCCCUAAAACAACGAUAUGAUGCAUCAAUAAAUAAUAACAGAGACUGAGAUAUGAUAUGCAUGUAAAUGCGUAUGACUGAGUAUGUAAUGCAAUGAAAGCAAAUUACUCAACAACAGAAAUGACCUCAGUGGGUCCCAACGGGAUAAACAUGUAGUCUAGACAUAGUUUCUAACAUAAUCACAGCUCGAUAACUCUAGUACUUAGAGAUUUCAUGAUUUCAGACAAGUUCAGGUAACUGCACAGUAUCACAGAAAUAACGAAAAUCACAGUUCACACGGUGCACGCCCACACGCUCGUCACCUCAAAAUUAAACACAUAACACGUAUAUUUAGGGUUCAUACCCUCAGCUCCAAGAUUAUAAGAGUUACUUACCUCGAACAAGCCAAUACCAAUGCCGAGCAAGCCAAACAAUGCUCCAAAUAUGCCAUCACGCGCGUAGCAACCUCCAAAUAGCUCAAAACUAGCCAAAAGCAAUUCAAAUACAUCAAAUACAGCCCAAGGAAAUAAUUCCAAAUGAUAACAAUCGAAUCCUCAAUCAAAGCCCAAAACUGGCCAAAAAUCACACCGGAGCUCGCACCUCGGAACCCAACCAAACUCACAAAAUUCGACAACCCAUUCAAAUACGAGUCCAACCAUACUAGUUUCACUCAAAUCCGACUCCAAUUCGAUGUUCAAAACUCAAAAAUUCAUAUUAUGAAACUUUAGGACAAAACCCAAUUUCCUCUAUAACGUUCAUCAACCAAUUACUAAAAUCUAAGAUGGAUUCAUGAAAUGUAAUCAAAACCGAGUAGAGAACACUUACCCCAAUCCUUAUGAUGAAAUUUGCUCCAAAAAUUGUUCCAUUCCGAAGUCCAUAGCUCAAUAUGUGAUAAAAAUGACCAACCCUCGAACUUAUAACAUUCUGCCUAGCGAUUCCACAUUUGUGGACAGAUCGUCGCAUCUGCGACCACCGCUUCUGCGGUAAAAACUUCGCUUCUGCGAAAAUAGCCUUGCCCAGCAGCCCCCGCACCUGCGGAUAUCAAAUUCCGCUUCUGCGAAGAUUUUCGCACCUGCGCUUCCAAUCUCGCAUCUUCGCGCACGCAGGUGCGCUACAAAAAUCCGCUUAUGCGGUCUUCCUCACCCAUCCUCUUUUCGCUUCUACGACUCCACUAACUUUUCUGCGACCAUCGCACCUGUGCAAUACCAGUCGCAGGUGCGGAACACCAGAACCAGCAGCUUAGCAAAAACCAAAAUGCAAUGAAAUGAUCCGAUCUCGUCCGAACUCACCCGAGUCACUCGGGACCCCAUCCGGAUAUAUCAACAAGUUCAAUAACAUAACACAGGCCUACUCGAGGCCUCAAAUCACAUAUAACAACAUCAAAACGACGAAUCGCACCUCAACUCGAAAUCAAUGAACUUUGAAACUUCAAACUUCCACAACCGAUGCUGAAACCUAUCAAAUCACGUCCGAUUGACCUCAAAUUUUGUACACAAGUCAUAUUCGACAUUACGAACCUGAUCCAACUUCUGGAAUCAGAAUCCGACCCCGAUAUCAAAAAGUCAACUCCCGGUCAAAUUUUUCAAAAUUUUCACUUUCGCCAUUUCGAGCCAAAUUCAACCACGGACCUCCAAAUCACAAUCCGGACGCGCUUCUAAGUUUAAAAUCACCCAACAGAGCUAGCGGAACCAUAAAAAUUCCAAUCCGAGGUCAAAUGCUAAAAAGUCAAAUUUGGUCAACUCUUUCAAAUUUAAAGCUUCCUAGUUGAGAAUCAUUCUUCCAAAUCAGUCCCGAAUAACCUGAAAACCAAAACCGACAAUUCACAGAAAUCAAAAUAUAUUAUACGGAGCUACUCACGCCCGUAAAAUACCGAGCGAAGUGCAAAUGCUCAAAACGACCGAUUGGGUCGUUACAUUCUCCCCCACUUAAACAUACGUUCGUCCUCGAACGUGUCCAGAGUUGUUCUCAAAGCUAUCAAACCGCCAUAUAACCUUACCAUGCACGUACCGGGUGUGAUCCCACGUCACCCUAUCCCAUAUAGGUUCGAUAACACAACAUAAUUGGAAUUUCUCAAUUCAACCUAGCCCACAAGCCUUAGAAUCCAAUUUCUAACAUCCGAAAUUUCUUAUAAGAUCAGAAUCUCGCAUCUACAUACUGUAUAAGUAUGAACAAGCUGUACCAAGCCGCAACCAUAACCCAAGAUACAAUCGCAUGAUAUAUCACAUAGCACAGAUACUCGAAGCAAUGAUUUCUAAUCACAGUAGCUGCUCACAACAACCCAAUGCCGGUAAUAAACCUCAUAUCAAACAAGACUCCAUUCUAAAACCUUCGUACACUACCGAUGAUGAAAGGAACAUGCAGAAACUCAUAACCAUUCAUCAGAUCAACUAGUCAUAAAACUCCCUCUCCUUCGACAAGAACUAUAGCAAAUUUCUAAGCCGACUUUCGAUAUUAUCCUUCCAACCAUGCUGUAAUCUAUUCCAAUAGUAUCCAUUCUAGGUCCAAUGACCUAAUCUCAUCCAACACGUCUACUCUAGUAACAUGACACAUCAAUACAAUCUAAAGCCAUACCCCGUGCAAUCCGUGCACCAAUAAGCAACAUUCCAAAUAUACUCAAUCAUGGAAAAUAAAUGACUCAGACGAGAGAACUGUCCCGCAAGCUCGACAAGUACCACCACAACACAAUGCUAAGAACCUAUCACACACUGUAGGACCAAAACACACGAAUCUAACAUGAAGGAUCAUGUCUCAACAUAACUUUGCCGCAAUGUGCGACCCCAUCCAGACACUUGCCCAUAUGAGACACCUCGAGCCACCAUGCUCAAAAUCAAUAACCACGUAUAAUUCGACAUCAAGUACCCAAAGUGCAUUACCAUAACCAUGGAGAAGCAGAUGACACAAUGCCACACAAAACCUGAAAGAACAUAAUCAAUACGCCCUCAAUCAUGUAAUACCCAACUACUCAUCUCGCUCAAAUUCUGCUAUAAAGCCCCAAAUAGAACCGCACUAGGCGUACUUAUAGCCAACGAAUCACAACUUCUCGUAGCAUAAAAGAGUAACUCACAGAUCCUUUCAGAACACGAAUAAGCUCAACAAUAACCAAAUGGCACAUCCCUCAAUAAUAGCAGUAUGAAACUAACCAAUCCGGCUCGGUGUAGAAUACACAUCCUAAUUGGGCCUACCAAUGGAACCCCUCCCCCCCCUCCCCAAAACGACUCUGGUCACCCACAAAUAGAUAAAUAAUCCUCCAAAGGUCCACAAUGACUGAAUCAUAACACUCACUAUCAUCUAGCUAGCACUGGCCACAACUUCACAGCCCACAACCAUGAAAUAAUCUGCUCCUGAAAGGUCUCGAUUUCCAAAUCCAUAGAACACACGAAUCACCAUUUCUGAUUCUAUCUCCACCGCCCAAAUGUCUAACACAUCUCUCAUACACGAUCAUCCCACGAGGAAUACUUCUAAAAUUCUUCCGUGCCAUCUAGCAAAAUUUGAAUAUCAGCAGUCGAUCAACCAAGAGAGUGUCGUAAUACCAAUGAAGUAUCCAUAAAUCAAAACACAUUGCCCCUUCUGAAAUAUAUAUACUAUCAUCAGGCCAUACCGAUUAGUAAUAUCGGGUUACCUAGUCAUCUGAAACCGUCCAUACUGCCUAUGAAUCUAUGUCAUUCCCUUCCAAACUAACCUGUGACCUUGCACAUGCAAAUCUCAAUCCCACACAACACCGCAUCUACCAUGCCAUCCUGUGAAGAGUACAAGAAUCUCAUAAUCAACUCUGAGUCCCAAGAAGAAUAUAUACCCGAUCAGUCAGAAUCAUUCCAUUUGAUUUCAUCCAGGAGAAAUUCACUAUACACCACAUGCUCCUCAGGCCAGUAGGAAAUAUACCCCUCGAACCUUGGUAAAAACUAUUGAGAACUCUUCGAAACCCAUUUGCACAUAACCAAGCUAUCUGAACCGAAUCUCUCUAACUCAACCCAUCCACGCAGGUUGCCAAAACCCAAGAGCAUUGCCAUGAAACACCUAUAGAGACUAGCUACGUCAUAAGAUCCAAAGAACCGAUUAUAUCCAUUACUGUGCUGAUCCAACCUACUACCACGCUGUCCUAUUUCUCCAAGUCCCUUCCAAAUUGCCUUCAAAUUGAUACUUUUCCUUGUUGGAACACUACGAUCCUUUACCAAAAUUUACCACACAAGAGACCCUAGUAUAAAACACAACGCCCUAAGGCCCAUAAGCCGCUGACUUCCCUCUUAAGCACCCCAAAGCACCACAACCGUGACACACACUCUAAAGAGACCUUAUGUGAACCUAAAAUUGUUUCCUUCACCUUCUUGAUGCUGAAAUGCAUAAUCCACAAUGGUAUAAAAAUGCCACAAGUCUCGACACCAUCCAAUAUUACUCUUAGUUUCUAGUCAUAUACAAAUCUUGAAAAUUCCAAAUCGCUACAUAUAAAUCUUGAAUCUAUUAGAACCAUUCUCGAGAGUCAUCCACUCUACUCAAAUCUCAAUUAAACCGACCAAACGGACCGAACGACUUGUGCCCCAUUAGCACACCAACACCCAAGGGAGUAAAGAGUAACCCACACUCCUAAGCAACCGAGCAAAUUCCUACUCCAUAUACACUACAUCCUUCGCGAAUAACCACUCAAAUUUUUUAUGAUUUCUCAUAUACCCAUAGAGUGUAAUACAACUUGUAUCCAGAAAUUCCUUUACCCGAGUCAUCCUCGAUCUCGACCUCUGCAAGUCAUAACUGAUUCACCAGUAUACCUCGAACCGAAACCAAUACAACACAUAACCGUGCAAUCAACUCGUUGAUAGUAGACUCCCCCACUUGGCUCAAAGCCGUGGAAUAAAACAUCUGACUACUUACAAUAACCAUACCCCAUUACUACCAUAAUACCACAGUGAGAUUCCAUUAAAUUCUUCAUCCGCUCAUGCAACACAAACCAUCUAGUACCUCAAAUCAUCUGCAAAUCCCGCGUUCAUCCUCGUGAUGGUUAAGCCAACUUCCAUAGGCGAUCCAAACUCAAAUUGCAAUAUAUAUCAUUCACUGGUAAAAGGGAACUCUCUACAAAACAUCUUAGGGAUCACACAACCUCAGGAUACCUCGCAGGGGAUAACCCACCUGCUUUGCCUCAAACUGGCAUCUCUCUACAUCCUUCCAUAGUCAUGACUACUACGCAAUCACUUAAUCUUCUUGAUUCUGUACUCAUCAAUAUGACAUGAGAAUCUACUUCACUCCACAACUAAACAACAUGAGAGAUCCCUCAAUACAUCCAUAACUCGAGACCAUACACCAAAUCAAGACAGAAAUCAGACACCCCAUAGUCCUUUCUACAUAUCNNNNNNNNNNNNNNNNNNNNNNNNNNNNNNNNNNNNNNNNNNNNNNNNNNNNNNNNNNNNNNNNNNNNNNNNNNNNNNNNNNNNNNNNNNNNNNNNNNNNNNNNNNNNNNNNNNNNNNNNNNNNNNNNNNNNNNNNNNNNNNNNNNNNNNNNNNNNNNNNNNNNNNNNNNNNNNNNNNNNNNNNNNNNNNNNNNNNNNNNNNNNNNNNNNNNNNNNNNNNNNNNNNNNNNNNNNNNNNNNNNNNNNNNNNNNNNNNNNNNNNNNNNNNNNNNNNNNNNNNNNNNNNNNNNNNNNNNNNNNNNNNNNNNNNNNNNNNNNNNNNNNNNNNNNNNNNNNNNNNNNNNNNNNNNNNNNNNGCCGUCGUUGCACAACUGAUACCGAGCGCUCAUGUGCGCAUACGAAUGCGUGGAAGGAAUUCAAAGGGUUACGCUUCAAGCUGAAUCAAUGCCGCACGAUAAGGAAAGAAAGAUGGGAAGUAUAUCCUAAAUGUCUUGUAGCCUCUCGAAGAUAGGUAUGGACGUCAUCAUACCGAUCCGCAAGACUCUACUAGACACUUGCUCAUGACUUGUAGAACCUAUGAACCUAGAGCUCUGAUACCACAUGUCACGACCCAAAAUCCAACUAGUCAUGAUGGCACCUAACCCAACCCGCUAGGUAAGCCAAUUAACAACUAUCCAAUUCCAAUAAUAUUUAAUAAGACAGUUAAGUAAAGAAAUAUCUUAAUCUUAUACAUUUCUCAAGGACUGGUAGUACAAAUCAUGAGCUUCUAAGAAUAGAGUUUAUAAAGCCGAAAUGAAAUAUAUACAGUCUGUUUGACAGAUUUUUAUAGAUCUAAAGCUAUCACGAACAAGAGGCAACUACAACCGAGACGCAGGUACAUCUUUAAUCCAGCUCCCAUCGAACACAGCAACAUUAACAACCAACGUCUGCAUGCAAGGUGCAGAAAUGUAGUAUGAGUACAACCGACCCCAUAUACUCAAUAAGUAACAAACUUAACCUUAGGUUGAAAGUAGUGACGAGCUAACAAAAAGAGGUCGGGUCCAACACCAAUAUUCCGCAACAGUUCAUAACAGCAUAGUAUAAGUAACAAACGAGUAUCUCAGAAAUAAAAGUCUCAGUUCGUUCUCAAUUCUAGAAAAAUAGGCAUUUCUUUUCCAAGUAUCUCAGUGAAAAUCCAAAUCUUUUACCGAAAAAGCCAAAAUACGAGUAAGUUUGAAAACUGUGAUUUUUCCCAAAAAUACUUUCAGCAAUAAACAAGGUGUUCCAUAUUUCCUUUCAAAUAGCAAGUGUAAGAUGCCUCUCUAUGCCCAUAUGUAAAAAUGUAUGAGAAGUCAUAAAUGACGUGAUACUAUACAACAUGAGGAAAAAUGCAUCUCUAUGCAUGUAUGCCAAAUGCGAUGCAAAUCAGUGAUAAAGAUCAUAUGCAUACUCUUAGAGUAUCAAUUCACUCCGUCCUACCAGUCACUCAGCACUCGGCACUCGCACUCAGUAGGUACCUGCGCUCACUGGGGGUGUGCAGACUCCAGAAGGGCUCCUACAGCCCAAGCGCUAUAAUCCGCACGGACAACUCACGUGCCAUAAUAUCAAUAUCUGGAAUCGUACGGACAACUCACGUGCUGCACAGACAACUCGCGUGCUAUAGUAAGCCAAUAUGACCCGCUGCGGCAUGCAGCCCGAUCCCAUAAUUAUCCUCACUACCAGGCCCUCGGCCUCUUAGUCUUCUUUGUAUGAGCACAUCAGAUAGCAUCAGUAUGAUGACCCCCAUUUGAUUGUCCUAAAGGACACGGUGCAGCACGACGAUGUCAAGGAGGUUUUUAUUAGAGAUGAUGGGGUGUUGCGGAUGCAGGGCCGGAUAUGUGUGCCCAAUGUGGAUGGUUUGCGUGAGUUGAUUCUUGAGGAGGCCCACAGUUCGUGGUAUUCCAUUCAUCCGGGUGCUGCUAAGAUGUAUCAGGAUUUGAGGCAACACUAUUGGUGGAAAAGAAUGAAGAAAGAUAUAGUGGAGUUUGUGGCUCGUUGCUUGAACUGUCAGCAGGUGAAGUACGAGUAUCAGAGGCCAAGCGGUUUGCUUUAGAGACUUGAGAUCCCCGAGUGGAAGUGGGAGCGUAUUACCAUAGAUUUCGUUGUUGGGCUCCUACAGACUUUGAAGAAAUUUGAUGCAGUAUGGGUUAUUGUGGAUAGGCUGACCAAGUUGACACAUUUCAUACUAGUGGUGUUCACCUAUUUUUCAGAGCACCCGGCUAAGAUCUAUAUCCGGGAAAUCGUACGCCUUCUUGGUGUGCUGGUGUUCCUGAGCCAAGGGUCAACCGGAAAUAGCCUCUCUGCCUUCUAAAGGCAGAGGUAAGGUCUGCGAACACUCUACCCUCCCCAGACCCCAUUUGUGGGACUACACUAGGUAUGUUGUUGUUAUUGUUGCAUGGUAUGGCGGUGCCCAUUAUCUUCGAUUGAGGAACGCAGUUCACAUCGCAUUUCUGUAGAGCCGUGUAGCGUGAUUUAGGCACACGAGUUGAGUUGAGUACAACAUUUCACCCCUAAACAGACCGGCAGUCCGAGCGCACCAUUUAGAUACCGGAGGAUAUGCUAUAGUUUGGAGGUUCAUGGGACCAGUUCCUACCGCUUGCUGAGUUCGCCUACAACAACAACUACCAAUCGAGUAUUCAGAUGGCUCCUUAUGAGGCAGUAUAUGGGAAGCGGUGUCAUUCUCCAGUUGGUUGGUUUGAGCCGGGAGAGGCUAGGUUGUUGGGCAUUGAUCUGGUUCGGGAUGCCUUGGAGAAAGCCAAGUUUAUUCAGGAUUGACUUCAUACAACUCAGUCUAGACAGAAGAGUUACACUGAUCGGAGGGCUCAUACUGUAUCAUUUAUGGUGGGAGAGAGGGUUUUGCUGCGGGUUUCACCCAUGAAGGGUGUGAUGAGGUUCAGGAAAAAGGGCAAGUUGAGCCCUAUGUGGUCUUUUUGAGAUCCUUAAGAGAGUUCGUGAGGUGGCCUACAAACUUCCAUUGCCACCGAGCUUAUCAGCAAUUCACCUGGUGUUCCGUGUCUCCAUGCUCCAGAAGUAUUAUCGUGAUCCGUCCCAUGUGUUAGAUUUUAACUCAGUUCAAUUGGACAAGGAUUUGACUUAUGAUGAGGAGCGGUGGCCAUCUUGGACAGACAUGUCCGAAAGUUUAGGUCAAAGAACAUUGCUUCAAUGAAGGUUCAAUGGAGGGGUCAUCUGGUCGAGGAGGCGAUCUGGGACACCGAGCACGACAUGCGGAGUAGAUAUCCUUACUUUUUCGUCACUUCAAGUAUGUCUUUAUGCACGUUUUAGGAAGAACGUUUGUUUUAAGAGGGGGUAAAUGUAACGACCUGGCCGGUUGUUUUGUAUAUAUGAGCCUUGAUUCAUCAAUCUAUCCAAUUUCUCGGGCUCACAAUAUCAUGAUACUAGCUCGAAAAUAAUGAUAUGAUGCAUCAACAAAUAACAACAGGGACUGAGAUAUGAUAUUCAUGUGAAUGCGUAUGACUUAAUAUGUAAUGCAAUGAAAGCAGAUUACUCAACAAUAGAAAUGACCUCAGUGGAUCCCAACAAGAUAAGCAUGUAGCCUAGAUAUGGUUUCUAACAUAAUCACAGCUCGAUAACUCUAGUACGUAGAGAUUUCAUGAUUUCAGACAAGUUCAGGUAACUACAUAGUACCACAGAAAUAACGAAAAUCACAGUUCACACGGUGCAUGCACACACGCCCGUCACCUAGCAAGUGCGUCACCUCAAAAUCAAACACAUAACACGUAUAUUCAGGGUUUAUACCCUCAACUCCAAGAUUAGAAGAGUUACUUACCUCGAACAAGUGAAUACCAAUGCCGAGCAAGACAAACGAUGCUCCAAAGAUGCCAUCACGCGUGUAACGACCUCCGAAUGCUCAAAACUAGCCAAAAGCAACUCAAAUACAUCAAAUACAGCCCAAGGAAACAAUUCCAAAUGAUAACAAUCGAAUCCUCAAUCAAAGCCCAAAACCGGCCAAAAAUCACACCCGAGCCCGCGCCUCGAAACCCAACCAAACUCACAAAAUCCGACAACCCAUUCAAUUACGAGUCCAACCAUACUAAUUUCACUCAAAUCCGACUCCAAUUCGAUGUUCAAAACUUAAAAAUUCAUAUUAUGAAACUUUAGGCCAAAACUCCCAAUUUUCUCUAUAAAAUUCAUCAACCAAUUACUAAAAACGAAGAUGGAUUCAUGAAAUGUAAUCAAAACCGAGUAGAGAGAACUUACCCCAAUCCUUAUGAUGAAAUUUGCUCCAAAAAUAGUUCCAUUCCGAAGUCCAUAGCUCAAUAUGUGAUAAAAAUGACCAACCCUCGAACUUAUAACACUCUACACAGCGAUUUCGUAUUUGCGGACAGAUCGUCGCAUCUGUGACCACCGUUUCUGCAGUAAAAACUUUGCUUCUGCGAAAAUAGCCUUGCCCAGCAACCCCCGCACUUGCGGAUAUCAAAUUCCGCUUCUGCGAAGAUUUUCGCACCUGCGCUUCUAAUCUCGCAUCUGUGCGCACGCAGGUGCGCUAAAACAAUCCGCUUAUGCGGUCUUCCUCACCCAGCCUCUUCUCGCUUCUGCGACUCCACUAACGCUUCUGCGACCAUCGCACCUGCGCAAUACCUGUCGCAGGUGCGGAACACCAGAACCAGCAGCUUAUAGCAAAAAUCCAAAAUGCAAUGAAGUGAUCCGAACCUCGUCUGAUACUCACCCGAGCUACUCGGGACCCCGUCCGAAUAUAUCAACAAGUCCAAUAACAUAACACGGACCUACUCAUGGCCUCAAAUCACACAUAACAACAUCAAAACGACGAAUCACACCUCAACUCGAAAUCAAUGAACUUUGAAACUUCAAACUUUCACAACCGAUGCCGAAACCUAUCAAAUCACGUCCGAUUGUCCUCAAAUUUUGCACACAAGUCACAUUCGACAUUAUGGACCUACUCCAACUUUCAGAAUUAGAAUCCGACCACGAUAUCAAAAAGUCCACUCCCGGUCAAACUUUCCAAAAUUUNNNNNNNNNNNNNNNNNNNNNNNNNCAAACUUGGUCAACUCUUUCAAAUUUAAAGCUCUCUAGUUGAGAAUCAUUCUUCCAAAUCAGUCCCGAAUAACCUGAAAAUCAAAAUCGAUGAUUCACACAAAUCAAAAUAUAUUAUACGGAACUAGUCACGCCUGUAAACUACCGAGCGAAGUAAAAAUACUCAAAACGACCGGUUGGGUCGUUAUAGGAUCGUGGAAGAUAACCAAAGGAAAUUUGGUUGUGGUACGAGGCUUGAAUAAGGGAACACUCUAUGCAACUGCAAUACAUAGAGAUACUAUAGCAACAAUUGAUCAUAGCCGUGAUACAACAUUAUGGCACCAGAGGCUCGGGCAUAUGAGUGAGAAGGGAAUGGAGUUAUUGGCAUCAAAAGAAAAGUUGCAAAACCUAAAGCAUGUUGAAUUAGGUUUGUGCGAAGAUUAUAUUUACGGAAAACAUAAAAGAGUUAGUUUCUCAAAGGCGGGAAGGACACCAAAGAAAGAAAAGCUGGAACUAGUGCAUACAAAUGUGUGGGGACCAGCUCCUGUAUCUUCUCUAGGAGGCUCACGCUAUUAUGUCACCUUCAUUGAUGAUUCCACAAGAAAGGUAUGGGUUUAUUUUCUGAAAAAUAAAUCUGAUGUGUUUGUUACCUUCAAAAGAUGGAAAGCUGAAGUUGAAAAUCAGACAAGUCUAUAGUUAAAUGUUUGAAGUCUGAUAAUGGAGGAGAGUAUGAUAGUCAAAGGUUUAAAGCAUUCUGCUCUGAGAAUGGGAUCAGAAUGAUCAAGACAGUUCCUGGAACACCGGAACGAAAUGGCGUUGCUGAGAGGAUGAACAGAACCCUGAAUGAACGAGCCAGAAGUAUGAGAAUACAUUCUAGAUUGCCGAAGUAUUUUUGGGUCGAGGCUGUUAACACGGCAACUUACAUCAUAAACAGGGGACCCUUUGUACUGCUGAAUUUUAAAAUUUCUGAGGAGGUAUGGACAGGAAAGGAGGUAACUCUCUCAUAUCUGAAAAUUUUGUGGUUGUGUUGUGUAUGUGCAUGUAAACUCUAAUGAUAGAGAUAAGUUUGAUCCUAAGCCCAAGAAAUGUUUCUUCAUUGGCUAUGGUGAUGAUAAUUUUGGUUAUCAAUUUUGGGAUGAUCAGAAUAGAAAGAUCCUAAGACACAAGAAUAUCACAUUUAAUGAAAAUCUGAUGUACAAGGACAAGUUUGAAGUAGAACCAACCAGCACCAGCAAACAGACAUCUGAAAUAGUUGAGUUAGAAGAAAUCUCACAAAAUGAAGUGUCUAGAUUACAACUGAUUCUGAAAUUGAAGAUGAAGAACCAGAAGCCGAAUCUGGAUCACAACCAGAACCGGAACCAGAGAUAGAAUCAAAUGCAGAAACAAAUCUGGAGUCAGGACUUGAAUCAAAUUCGGGAUCAGUUACUCUUGAACCUACAUUAAAGAGAUCUAAAAGAGUCACAAAUGCUCCAGAUAGGUUAACUCUUUCUCUUCACUAUUUACUUUUGACUGAUGCUGGAGAACCAGAGCAUUUUGUUGAAGCAAUGCAUGUGAUAGACUCUCAUAAGUGGAAGCUAGCCAAGAAAGAAAAGAUAAAUCCUCUUCAAAAUAAGAAAACAUGGAUACUUACAGAGUUACCAAAAGGAAAGAAAGCAUUGCAGAACAAGUGGGUGUACAGAGUCAAGGAAGAGCAUGAUGGUAAUGAGAGAUACAAAGCACGAUUAGUAGUAAAAGGCUUUCAGCAGAAGGAAGGAAUUGACUAAGUCAAAUUAACUACUAUCAGAUUGGUGCUAAGUAGCAUAGCUGCAGAAAAUUUGCAUUUGGAGUAGCUAGAUGUUAAAACUACUUUCUUACAUGGUGACCUUGAAGAAGACAUCUACAUAAAGCAACCUGAAGGUUUUUAAGUUUAUGGUAAAGAAAACCUUGUGUGUAAGUUGAAGAAGAGUUUGUCUGAUUUGAAACAAGCACCCCGACAAUGGUAAAAGAAAUUUGAUGGAUUCAUGCAUAAUAAUGGUUUCACACGAUGUGAGAUGGACCAUUGCUGUUACAAAAAUCUUGAUAAAUCCUAUACCAUUUUACUAUUGUACGUUGAUGAUAUGUUAAUUGUAGGAUCUAGCAUAAAUGAGAUCAACAGGGUUAAGCAACAAUUGAAGGAGAAGUUUGAAAUAAAAGACUUAGGACCAGCUAAGCAAAUGCUUGGGAUGAGGAUUAGCAGAAACAGGUAUGAAAGAACCUUAAAAUUGUCUCAAGAAAAGUACAUACAAAAGGUACUAAGCAGGUUCAGUCUUCAUGAUGCAAAGACCAGAAGCACUCCACUCGGAAUCUAUCUUAAUCUGUCGAAGGACCAAUCACCUAAGACAGAUGAAGAAAGAAAGUACAUGUCCAAAGUUCCAUAUGCUUCAGCAGUAGGAAGGUCGAUGUAUGCUAUGGUUUGCACUAGACCUGACAUAGCCCAUGCAGUUGGAGUUGUCAGUAGAUACAUGUUAGAUCCAGGAAAGGAGCAUUGGGAAGGUGUAAAAUAGAUAUUGCGAUAUCUUAAAGGCACCUCAGGUAUGGCACCUUGUUUUAAAAGGAGCAAUAUUAUCUUACAAGGUUUUGCUGAUGCAAAUUUAGGCGGCAAUCUGGAUAGUCGAAAAAGUACCAUAGGCUAUGUGUUCACCUUGGGUGGUACUGCUAUUAGCUGGAUGUCUAGACUUCAGAAAAGUGUUGCUCUAUCUACCACUGAAGCAGAGUACAUGACAAUCUCAGAAGCUGGAAAAGAGAUGAUUUGGCUCAAGAAUUUUCUUAAAGAUCUAGGUAAAGAGCGGCCAGAGUGUAAUUCAUCUUGCCAAAAAUCAAGUAUUUCAUGCAAGAUCAAAGCACAUCCAGUUGAGGUAUCAUCAUAUCCAAGAGUUGAUAAGUGAAGGAACUCUUUCCCUGCAGAAGAUACCAUGAUCGAAGAAUCCAUCAGACAUGUUAACCAAAGUUGUCGGUGUUGACAAACUGAGGUUGUGCACCGCCUUAGUUAGCCUUCAAGAUUGAUAAUGUGAAGGCGCCACUAGAGAAUAGCAAAUCUUUUUUUUUAAAUUUUCUUUCUUCUUGUAUAUGGGUUUGAGGGGGAGAUUGAAAGGAACAAACCCAACUGUAAAAGAAAUAAAAGAAAGAAGACAAAAGCUGUAAAAGAAGAAAAAGAGAAGAAAGAAAACGUGGAAAAAGAAAAACUGUAAAAGAAGACAGAGAAAAAAGGAAGAAAGAAAACACGGAAAAGUCAAAGUUGGCAGGCUGCAAAUGUGAAAGAAGAUUCGGCGCGCAAUUUGCGGUGCCGUCCUCAUCGUAUUCACAUUUGCUGAAAAUUUUCUUUCAUCAGACGUUCUGCCUAUAAAUAGGUAUCCCUUCCUUCAAUUGUAUAUCAUCCCUCAACUUCUUUUUUCUCUUCAAUUAAUAAAGAGUUAUUCUUUGUAUGGCCGUGGAGUAGGCAAAAAUUGCCGAACCACGUAAAUUUUGUCUUGUCUUGUGCAAUUUAUUGCAUUUCUCUUUUAAAUAUGUUUUCCCUUCUAUUAGCCUGACAUGCUUUCCAACACCGGAUACCACAUUUUUGAAUGUUGUUGAGUUUUUCAAAAGGAAAUAAAUAUUAAUAAAUUAUAGUAUAGGUUACGUGUGUGGUUAUAAAUUGUUGUCACUUGACAAAAUAUAUCCAGAUUCCAGAUGUUGAUGGAUUUCAGCUCCCUGAAGGAGAUAUUAAUUACAAAAGUGUUGGCCAUAGAACUAUCGAAGAAUAUAUAACGCGACGUUUAAAGGCUUCUGAAGAACUAACAUAUUAGGAUUGGUUUCAUUUGCAAGUAGGAUAUCAAGCAACCAUAAUUAGGAUAAAAUUAAGUUAAUGCAUUUUCAUUAGCAGUACCCUUAUAAACAUAUAAAUGCAGAGGCGGAUCCAGAAUUUGGAGGUGACGGGGCACUAUUAUUUUUGACAUAGUCAUGACUCGAGUUUGGGAUUUUUUGAGGGGGAGCUUUAAUCAAAAGAAAGGGGGUUUGGGGGGGAAACUAAAGAGAAAAAAAAAAGGACCAGAAACUAAAGAAAAAAAGCCAAAUGAAAAGAAAUCUGGGCUUACAAGGAAUUGUUGGAGCUGGGCCAAUUAUCCAAGCAUAAGAGCAGCAAUAAGCUGCAGACGCAACCAGUGCCCCAAACGAGCUUUUGAGUAUGAGGGUGCCUAAUAAAGUAUAUAACCUUUUCUCAAGGUAUAUAACAUAUAUAUACAUAUAGAUAUAGGAUUUUUGCCGAGCUUAACAGGUGCCGGUGACCCCUCUACAUUCCACGUAGGUCCGCCCCUGUAUAGAGGGUACGUUAAGGAAGAAUAGCUUAUAAGCGCAAUUUGAAAAAUACUAUCAAAAUUCUAGGAUUAUAAUUCAAGCGCCAUUGAUGGAAGAUAGAUAUUGAAAGAAGCAAUCGAUUAUGUGAAGUAUUAGGGGAAAUGAAAAAUCGUUUGACUCCCUUGAAUUUCGGAACCAUUCAAAUACCACUAGUUAGAUAUCAAUUUAAUUGAUAAUUAGUUGAAUAUAUACCUCCAUUUGUUGUCAUUUAACCAAUAUAUAUAUAGAAGAACUCUAAAGUUCUAACAAAUUUCAGAAUUUCCAAAUUAACAAGGCACUUCCCUGGAAUACUAAAGAAAAAGAACACUCCAAAAGUGCAAAAAUAAAAAGAAACACCAAGCACAGGUCUUAUUCUGAAACUUGACAUUAGUCCUCUGUCUAGAAGGUAGAGUUCUCUGGCCUGAGCUGGUAAAUCUUGAACUUUAAAGAUUUACUAUCUCAUUCUAAUAUUUUUCCUUUUGCUUUUUUCACUUCUUUAGGCUCAUCUCAGACUUCAGUCAGAGACCUUUAAACGAGGGAAGGAAGGCCAAGGCAAAUAUGAAGAGUCAGAAAACAGUCGUAAGCUUUAUUCCCGUUUCUAUUCUUCAAAAAUAGACGGUCACAUCUCGUGCUUGUUUAAAACUUAGUGAAGAAGUGUUCAACAUUAUCCUGCUCAGUCGGUAUUUCUCUCUUUAUUGGAAUUAGGCUCUCCUUAUAAUCAGUAGUCCAACAGAAUCCAGAAUCUAGACGUUGAAAAUGAUCAAAUCCAAGAUUUGUAACUUGUUUAACCGUCUGAUCAUAAAAGACCAUCCUGUUAGUUUCUGUUAGUUCAUAAAUAAACUUAUCAUACUCCCAAAUGCCAUUAGGCCAAUGCGAAGGUAUAGGAGGAUUCACUGUAUAAACUUUGAUCCAAUUAUUCUCUCGAAUCCUAGCCCAUAUAUCAUAACAGGAUGUCUGAGGCUGAGCCAUAUUACCAGAAGACAGCUGCAAGAGAGCCACCGCGUAACAUUAGUGUCGCCCAGUGAUCACCUGGAAUUGGCGGUCCUGUCAUUUCCCCAAACAAUUCAGUCACAAAAUCAAAUGUCCGAACACUAUACACAUUGUCUUUGUUGCAUAUUUCUUUGCUUCUGGUCAUCCAAUGAUAUUUUCCAUUUAUAUAAGUACAAUUUUGGGACACAGAUAAUUGACAUUCGUAAGAGUAGUUAGGUUCCAAGUAUUUCCAGGAGUCAUUUUUCGACGAAUACAGAGCAGCAAAAAUCUUAGGAUAAAGAUCGUUUGUCAUUUCGUCCCAAAAUGUUCGUAACCAUACAACUUUAUAGUCCUGAUUCACUCUGUCUAAAUCUAUUCCAACCAUACGGCAGCAGUCUUGAAAUCUUUCUUGAAGCUCAAAUUCGACACGAGGAAUAAGACUACACUCUUUAGUAGCAGGAUUCCACCAAGCAAACCGAACAUUAUCUGCAAAAUGUCCUUUCUCUAAUAAGAAUAAUCCGUCAAUUGGACCAUGAAUAUCUCUGAAAUCACUAACACCUUCGCAACGAUAAAUCCUCCGAUAGGUAGGGACACAUCCUGCGUAUAUCUUCUCAUUGAGAAAGAAGAGAUCAAAAGCCCUUAAAGGCUCGGGAUCAUGAUUGUAAUCAACACCGAACUUGGCAACCGUGAGACGAGGACGAAUACUCUCGCUAUCAAAGUGCUUUCUGAUAAAACUCGAGCUUUUUAUAAGAUCACGCCAACUAUUGCACACACAUUUGAAUCGCUACAGUGAUUUCACAGGUAACCUCACUACAAUAUGAUCAGUAACAAUUUCUUCUCGCGGGUAACUCUUUGUAUUACUUGUCAUUCUGCUCAAUAUAUUCAAACAUCCUGGUUAUGAACUAGGUUUACCUGAAAUAACUAAAGGACAAGAUAGAACAACGGUUCUACCUGAUUGAUAAAGAAAAUAAAAUCAGCCCAACGAACUGUAACAAUGUCAUUCAUAGAAGUAGUAUUUUUUGCGCUAUAGAUCGUCUGAACUUACUUCUUAGCAAUUGUGGGAAGAGAAUUUAAAUAGUAUUUGUAGAUCAUAAAAGAUAAAGAAGUGAAUGAUUUCCGGACAUCUCUUAUUUAUAUAAUUGGACAUGCAACAAGAAAACAACAAAAUGAGCGUAAAAUUAGCUAACAACCAGUGACUUCUUCAUAUAACAAUGAUAAAAACAAACUCCGUUCAAUUCGCAAAAGACUGGGUUAAAAGUUUGACUAGCAGAAGGAGAGUAAAUUCAUGUAUGAUUGACUAGCAGAAGCAAUGACUUUGUGUUAUUGGUUUUAAAUGUUGUUUAGAUACCAGAAAGACUUGAGACUAGUUUACCAGAAUAAACAAUCCUCAAGCUUAAAAGGGUAAUUAUGGAAUAUUAUUGAAAAAUGUCCUUUGAAACCAUUUUCACUAAAAAAUAUCGAAAUACGACAGGCGAGUGUUAUAAAACAAACCAGGACAGAGGUCUUUGAAAUUACCUAUGAUAUUUCAACUAAUUCAAAAAAUAUGGAAAUAACAAUAGCUUUCUCGCUAUUGUUAGGUUUAGAAUUUUAAUAAUGAUCAAUAAUCAAAAGAGCCUAGAAUAAUGUCAUCUCACUUUGUGUGCAGAUUCGCAACAGCGCUAAUGAAUGAAAGGAAAGAAAAUCAUACGAG
rnacentral:lncRNA from 1 species